CUAAAUGAAACUUUUUAUUAAAUAUGAAAAUUUAUCUGUUGCCCUUAAUUUUUUACUAACUUAAGAUUUUUCCAUAAUGAGGGGAAAGAAAAUCUCUAAAAGGUAGUAUAUAUGAAAAAAAUAUACACAUGUUAUAAAAUUGUACUCAGUUCAUUGAUGUUGAUGAAUGGAAAUCUAACUAAAUUUGUUUGAUCUUAAAUUAUGAAAAGCUAAAUUUAACUUGUUUAUGAAAUAAUAUACAUGUAUGUAGUUUAAUGUAAGUUAUGAUAUACUCAUUAUUAUUCUCUAUUUUUACAUGUUAAUUUAUAGAAGUGUAUCUACUUUCAAUUGUGUUUAGGAGGAGGCAUGGCUGCUCCAUUCAAACUCAACAAAAUAACCAUGGAGGCAUCUUCACUAUCCAAGGGUUACAACCAAGUCCCCUCCUCAUGGAGAGAAGGGGACUGGAUCGUAACCCUUGGCUAGCGAAGAUGCUAGUUAACAUGCAAGUUUAAAUUUUAAGUUUAUAUAUUAUCAUCAAAUUAUUCUUAUUUAAUGCAUAUUUUAACGCAUAAUAUUCAAAUACUUUUGUCAGUUUUGUGCCAAAAAAUAUUUUUAAUGUUUAUAAUUUGAAAAGUAUAUAUAUCAUAGUGUAUAAUUGGCUGUGUAUGAAUUGUAUGUCAAAUAUACUGGACUGACAUCAAUAUAGAUUUAGGUAGAAAAUAUGAGUACAAUGUCCUUGUUUUUAAUAUAAAUGUCUAGUACACAAUACAGUAUUAUGUAUUGUUUUAAGUAUGUUCGCUUCUCUUGUUUUUGACUUUUUGUCAGACAUUUGGAAUCCUCUGGUUUUAUCAAGGAUUUGUAUAGUACUAUAUUGUUAUACAAAUCCUUGGUUUUAUCCAUGUAGUGUCAAUAAAAAUUUUGCCCGGUAACCCUUCUUUUCUUUUCAUAAUUUUAUUAGAUAAUGUUUAAAAAACAAUUAUGAAAAUCUUAUAAAAUCCUUGUUAUUUUUAGAUAUUUUUUUUAAAGAAACAAGGUGCCAAUGUUAAAUGUAUGUAAAAUCUAGAGAGAAUCAUUUCGCGCCAAAUUUUCAAUUUAUUAUAUCUCAAAAACAAGGACACAAACUUGUCAUUUUUUCUAUUUUUUAAGUUCCUUUAUUUACAUACUAUCAAUUUUAUAACAGUCUUUUAAAAUGCUUGUUAGUUUGAAAGAAGAGAGAGCAUCCUUAGUAUACUAUAAACUUAUUUUCAGGGGCGAUUUAUUUUCCUUGACUUUUGCAAGUAUAAAAUAAAUAAUUUCAAAAAUUUGAAAUUUUUAAUUUUUUUUUAUUUGAAUACAUGAAUAAAGUUAGCAAAUCACAAAAAAUAAAAAGGCACAAAAUUUGGUUGGAACGGGUUCAACACAAAAAGUACCUGGGAAAAAUCAGUGUAUUUGCAGUGAUAAAUACAUGAAUGAUGUGCUAGUAUUGUUACACUACUGUCCGAAGGAAGUGGGAGGCUUGAGUGCUCACAAAAUUUUUUAAUCCUGCCUCAUGAUUUAUAUGCCUGUCAUUCAGUGGUUGUUGGUUUCCAUCUGUCAUAACUGUAUUCAUUUUAUGUCAUUAACUUAAUUCAGGCUGUUAGUUUUCUCUGUUGUAUUGAUUCACUUGUUGUUUGAAUGUAUUGAUUCACAUGUUGUUUGAAUGUAUUGAUUCACAUUUUGUUUGAAUAUAUUGAUUCACAUUUUGUUUGAAUGUAUUGAUUCACAUUUUGUUUGAAUAAUUCUGCAUCUGAUUGUAGUUCAUGGAAUGUAAUGGCUGAAUUAUUGAGAUUAAUAUUUCUGUUACAUUUCAGUUAUCCAUAACACUAUUUUUUUGUUGCUGUCAGAUUUGCUGUUGUUUUGAAUUUAAGAAUAGUUUUUGUAAUGUGAAGGAAAGCAACUGUAUAACUGGUUAAUUUCUCACAUUUUCAAGGACUCAGCACAAUAGGUGUUUUAUUAAAAUUGUGUGUUACAGGAUUUUCGUUUUGCUUCUUGUUUUAGAUUUUCCCCCCAGAUUAACUUUUUUGGUGAAAUACUUUUCAGAGAGCAAAAUGAAUGCAUAUUUUAAUAUUUCACAAACUAGUGCUCUUUUCACAAAGAAUUUUACGAUUAAAAUUAAUCAAAGGUUACCUGUACACUGCAAUGUACUAACUUUUUAUCAUCAGUUUUAUAUGGAAAAAGAGUGGUUGGCCCUUUUGUUUGUUAUAAAUGUUCCACAUAAACUGAAGAAAAGUCCUUUACGACUUUUGACAAAAAGUGUUGUUAUUUGUAUUUUCUUCUCCAUGUAAUCAAUUUUCAUUUAAAAUUUUGGAAGGGAAUUGUAUUAUUUGUGGCAUUGUAUUUUUUUCCCGCUUAUAUAUUAUUGACAUGAAUUUUAUAAAUUUACUUUUAUGAAUACUCUGAAAUGCAAUAGCCAAUAGUUUGAACUCCUCACACAAGUGCAAUAAUUGUCAAUUUAUUUUAAGAUGACUUAUGACACAUACAAUAUCGGCCAACUGAGCUUUAGCCAUUUCUUGGUACCCAUCAUUGUCUGUCGGAAGCUUUUAAAAUUUUUCUUAUCUGAAGCACUAGUCUUAUUAUGCAUUGAUGGACAAAUUCAGAAAAUGUAUUGCAAUAUAAAACACCAAUAUCUCAAACAAUCUGAUAGUUCCAUGCAUCAUUUACAAAGACACUGAGCCGGCACAAAAUCAUUUACCAGGACGUUAGUUAAUUUGUUUCUGAAUUUUAUUUUAAAAGAACAUGGGUCCAUCUAUUAAUAUCCAUUGGUAUAUAAACCAAACAAUAACAAAAAUACCAAUUGAUCUUUUUCCCAUCACAGCUGUUAAGAUGAUAAUGGUGAAAUGGCUUAAGGUUUUUGAAUAUUUAACUAACUAUUGACUUAUAUUACCAUAAAAUCUUGGUUGUAUAUGAACCAUGAUUCUGUCUGAAGUCCAAGAUGACUACCAUUAUUUUUCUUUGAUCUGCCACCACAAUAUAGCCAUUUUCCAUAAAAACAAUCAAUAUUCACUCAAUCAAUCUUUGAUCUGCAUAUUACAAGCCUGUUUGGACAAAAUAUUUUAACCUUGUCCUAGAUCAAGAUUAACAGUUUUCCUUAUAGUGACUGAUACAGGUUGACGUAGUUAUUAAAAGGUUUAGAAUUGAUAAUAAAGGUAUUAUUUGUAAUUCGUACUCAUUGUAUGUCACAUUUAUCAUUUGUAUGAAUUGAAUUAUGGACAGAACAAUAAUGGAUAUGUCAGUUUUGAAUCUAAUAUGUCCCAAUAAAGAAGAUACAUUUAA